AGCUCUGUGUACAUAGUCCAAGAGAUUUAACUUCAAGAAAAAAUUAUGUUCAAGUCAGGAGAAAAUAGCUGAUUGAGAAACAUUGACGAUAAAUUCCCAAUACUACUAAGGAAAAUGUCACUACAAAGUGAAGCAAACCUGGCUGAGAGUGUCAAGAUGGCAGACAGGACAGGUAAGUUUUGGUGGGACUGGCAGGCACUUGGACAUCAGCCAGAAGGUACAGGCUUUCUGGAGGUAACCUCCAUUCCAGAAAUAUGUGGUGUUGUAGAAAGAAAUAUCAACCAAAGGAAGGGGACUAUUCAAACUGCGAGUACCUCAGAAAACUACUCUGAUACCUCCUCAAUCUCACCCCCUGGCUGGGUUACCAAAACCCUCUCAGUUGUCAGAUCUAAUAGACACUCUUCAUACGUUGUCGGAUGCAACUUUUGAGUGAAAUUUUAAGUGUUUAUUUAUUUAUUUGAGGAGAGAGAGAGAAAGAGAGAGAGUACAAAUAGGGGAGGGCAGAGAGAGAGAAGGAGAGAGAGAACCCCCAACAGGCUCCCUACUGUCAGGGCAGAGCCUGACACAGGGCUGGAACUCAGGAACUGUGAGAUCACUACCUGAGCUGAAAUCAAGAGUCGGAGGCUUAACCAACUGAGCCACCCAGGUGCCACUGAGUGAAAUUUCAUGCUGUGGACCAGCCCUUCCUUUUAGAAACCCCUCAUUCCUUGGCCUCUGGUGCUUACUUCUUUACUGGAUUCCUUCUGCCUCACUCUAGCUCCUUCUCAGGUUCCACGGCUUCUUCUCUGGACUCCAUCACGUCUUUGUUUUUCUCAUUUUACAUGCUUCUGGAUGAAAAGUGAUGGGGUCCUCAAUAGCUCCAGCAGCAGUGGGGAUAAAGAGGACAUACAACGUGAAGGCUGAUUGGAGGAGCUUUCCAACUCACUCAAGUCAAACAUCAGGAGAGGAAGCAGCCCCUGAGCUCCCUUCCUCCCCAGCCAGCCCACCCUUGCAUUAGAGCCAGAAGUCCCAUAGUUCUGCCGGAAUAUCUUUGCCAGCCCUUUCCCUUAUCCCACGGUCAUUUAGUGGUGGAUUUAUUUGCCUUUCCCCCUAGACCGUGAGGUCCUUGGUACCUCCAGAGUCUGACACAUUGCAGUCAUCCUGUUACUGAGUAAAGGAAUGAGGUACUUAAAAUAUGUACAAAUAAAAAUGUAGCACAAGUUGCCAUAUAUACUUAAAAUGAGCUUCCCUAAGAUGCUCAAAUGCUGGGCGUGGUAUCAAAGUUCAAAUUUCUCACGGACCAUAGAGCAAGUGAAAACACCAUCCUUCAA